rnacentral:rRNA from 1 species
UGGGGAAUAUUGGACAAUGGGCGCAAGCCUGAUCCAGCCAUACCGCGUGGGUGAAGAAGGCCUUCGGGUUGUAAAGCCCUUUUGUUGGGAAAGAAAUCCUGCCGAUUAAUACUCAGUAGGGAUGACGGUACCCAAAGAAUAAGCACCGGCUAACUUCGUGCCAGCAGCCGCGGUAAUACGAAGGGUGCAAGCGUUACUCGGAAUUACUGGGCGUAAAGCGUGCGUAGGUGGUUGUUUAAGUCUGUCGUGAAAGCCCUGGGCUCAACCUGGGAAUUGCGAUGGAUACUGGGCAACUAGAGUGUGGUAGAGGACAGUGGAAUUUCCGGUGUAGCAGUGAAAUGCGUAGAGAUCGGAAGGAACAUCUGUGGCGAAGGCGACUGUCUGGGCCAACACUGACACUGAGGCACGAAAGCGUGGGGAGCAAACA